rnacentral:rRNA from 1 species
GAUGAACGCUGGCGGCGUGCUUAACACAUGCAAGUCGAACGGAAAGGCUCCUGCUUGCAGGGGUACUCGAGUGGCGAACGGGUGAGUAACACGUGGGUGAUCUGCCCAGCACUUCGGGAUAAGCCUGGGAAACUGGGUCUAAUACCGGAUAGGACGAUGGUUUGGAUGCCAUUGUGGAAAGUUUUUUCGGUGUGGGAUGAGCUCGCGGCCUAUCAGCUUGUUGGUGGGGUAAUGGCCUACCAAGGCGUCGACGGGUAGCCGGCCUGAGAGGGUGUACGGCCACAUUGGGACUGAGAUACGGCCCAGACUCCUACGGGAGGCAGCAGUGGGGAAUAUUGCACAAUGGGCGCAAGCCUGAUGCAGCGACGCCGCGUGGGGGAUGACGGCCUUCGGGUUGUAAACUUCUUUCGCUAGGGACGAAGCGCAAGUGACGGUACCUGGAGAAGAAGCACCGGCUAACUACGUG